rnacentral:lncRNA from 1 species
AAAGGAGGACCCAGGUGAUAUCUGGGGUACAGAUGAAAGAAGCAGAAAAUUUCAUUGAAGUAAAUAUAUGAUAUGAUGAAAGGGUGGAGCUGGAAAACAGGAUGACAGGCAAGGUAUAGAAGGACAGAGAGGGCCCAGGAGGGGUGGAGAGAUCUGCCAGUCUGGGGGGUGGGGAAGGGGCUGUGGGUACCCCUCUUCAUGCUGUCCCCUCCCCCACACUCUAAAACUCUUUGUGACACUUCAAUGCUCUGUAAUGCAGGCCUGGGACUAUAGUCAAAUGACUGCACCCUCAGAGCCCAGUUCCCUCAGGUAGCCUUGUGAUUCAGACAAUGGAGUUCAGACAAGGGACUUUUCUCUCAUUUCUGAAUAGCCCUAUUGAGUCAUGUCUGAGCUUUGGGUCAACAUUCCUGGAUACUCAUUCCAACCUCACCUUCCUAUGUGGGUUGGGGUUGCUCCUUCUGUUCCUGGGCUACCUGGUGGGGAUUCCAACUUUACCAACCUUCUGGAAAACCAAAGACUUCCAAAAGCGUAAGGGCAGAGCCAAGAGGAGAAGGAAAAGUGGAACAUAGAGAGAUUACUCUGUUACCAGUUGUCAAGUUGUGGUUCCCAGACCAGCAGCAUAAGUAUUGCCUGGAACUCAUCAGAAAUGGAAAUCCUUGGCCCUCACCCUGGACCUACUCAGGAAGGAACUCUGGCUGUGGGGUGGGGCUCAGCAAUUUUGCUUCAACAAGCAGAUUAAUCAACUACCAUCAGUUUCCAUGAAGAGGAGGACUUCUUGCGGGUUCCGGUGAGACAGGAUUUGCUAAGGCAGACAGCAGCAGGGAAAACUCCUGGUGAUAGGAUCUGUUAGAGCAAAGGACAGAAGACAAAAAGAAGGCUGUAUGCCUAAGAAGUGAUCUGGACCACAAGUGCUGUAAUUAUAAGCUUACAAUGUUGCCACACUGCUUUGUGAAACAGAUUUUUGCUGUUUAUUAAUUAUUUUUCCUUGUUUCAGGUUUGAUAUUUUUCAUGAUGUAAUAAACAGUGGGAUCUAGGCU